UUAUCCGGCCAUAUCACGUUGAAAAGACCGGUUCUCGUCCGAUCACCGAAGUUAAGCAACGUCGAGCCUAGUUAGUACUUAGAUGGGUGACCUCUUGGGAAACCUAGGUGCUGUAAGCG
rnacentral:rRNA from 1 species